rnacentral:rRNA from 1 species
UACGGGGGGGGCAAGCGUUGUUCGGAAUUACUGGGCGUAAAGGGCUCGUAGGCGGCCAACUAAGUCCGACGUGAAAUCCCCAGGCUUAACCUGGGAACUGCGUCGGAUACUGGAUGGCUUGAAUCCGGGAGAGGGAUGCGGAAUUCCAGGUGUAGCGGUGAAAUGCGUAGAUAUCUGGAGGAACACCGGUGGCGAAGGCGGCAUCCUGGACCGGCAUUGACGCUGAGGCGCGAAAGCCAGGGGAGCAAACAGG